rnacentral:rRNA from 1 species
UACGAAGGGGGCUAGCGUUGCUCGGAAUGACUGGGCGUAAAGGGCGCGUAGGCGGUGGACCCAGUCAGGCGUGAAAUUCCUGGGCUCAACCUGGGGGCUGCGUUUGAUACGUGUUUGCUAGAGUGGGGAAGAGGGUCGUGGAAUUCCCAGUGUAGAGGUGAAAUUCGUAGAUAUUGGGAAGAACACCGGUGGCGAAGGCGGCGACCUGGUCCUUGACUGACGCUGAGGCGCGAAAGCGUGGGGAGCAAACAGG